CAACGAUGAAAUUUCCCCUUUGUUUGUAAGUAGCAGAAAAAAAGGGAAAUUUCCCUAACUUAACAACACUGUAUUUAAAUGUAAACAAAGUCGCAGAAGUGCAGAUAAACAACCAAAUGAAGCAAUUGCAUGCAACUGUUUUGUUCUACGACUAAUCACAUAAGCAACCAACAGAUGUGAUAGCCGGCGCAACAGUUGGUUAUUUCAUCAGAGUCUGGAACGUUCUGCAGGGGAUUUGAUAAUAAGACCACCAGGAGAGUCAGGAUCAAUGUCACCGGGAUGCGCCAUUUUUUUUUUACACCUGUCUCUCCCCACACCCCCUCUAAUUAUUUUAAUUUUUAAUAUUUUUUUGUAAAUUUUUUUCUGUAUUUUUAAGAUAUCAAUAAAAACACCAUAAAAAAUGGAUGGAUAUUUUUUGGUUUUUUU